GUUUCCUUCAGACAACACAUAGACACGUAGAGUCAAACCUCCCGGUUGAGCUAUGAAGACAGAGCAAACCUGUGUGGAGACACCGGCGACUCUCCGGGAGCCCAAAGACGUGCUCCAAAAAGAGGCGCACAGGGAAGAGGAGGACCCGCAGAAACAGGACGAAGCAAAUUACGUUCAUUUGGAAUUAAUGGACGUCAACUUAUGCGGGACAAACCCGGAAAAAGACUCCGGCUUUGGCCAAAACAAAGACCACAUGCCUGUCCUCGUCAACAGCAGCAACGACGGAGGUCUGCGCGCAACGGAAGCGGCCAAGGAGGUGGUGAUUAAAACCAACACUGAAACUAAGACAAAAAAUGAUUCUGAAGUUAGAAAAUAUGUAGAGGGUGUCAACGGGGGUCCAUCUGAUCUAUCAAAUCUUAAUGCAAAGUCGAAGGGUUGCUUCAAAUCAGGCGUCGAAGGUGAGCUCGCGAUAACGCAGCCGGAGGUGUCCAAAAUAGAAGACAACAAAAACCCUCCAACAUGUGAGGGAUUACACAGUAUUGAUAACUAUCUGAGCGGGAGAAGUGAUGAGGAUAGUGAAGAAGAGGACGAUGAUGUCUGUUCCGUGCUUUGCGACGACUGCGUCCCGUGCGUAACGGAGGAUGAGUCCCAUUAUAUCACCACGCACGAGAUCCAGCUCCUGGAGCUCUCUGAUCACGAGCAGGACUUCGAUCUCGCUGGCGGCUCCUCCGCCAGCUGGGAGAUCGAGGACGACAACCAGGUGUACUCGUUUGUCGACUACGCCUCGUCUAACGGCGGUGGGGCGGCGGGGGAGAGAGGGGACGCCGCACAGCCUCGCUCAACGGCCGCGACAGCAGCAGUCAGCAGUCAGCUGGAAAGUGAUCCCAUCGAUGAGGCCAAAUUCACCAGCUCAGAUGAGAGUGUGUCAAAGCACCUGCAGCAGCAGCAGCAGCGCAGUGGCAACAGUUCGGGACAGAUCCACCUGUCAAUCAGAACCACGUCUCGAGCUAUAAAUGACCCUGGCAGCAUCCAACAACGGGGGGGAAUUCUUUAUCAUACCAGGCGCUCCGGGGAUACGAGUCGCUACGUGUUGAGGGGGGUUGAUGGGAAGGCAGAGACGUUGUGUGACAGGGCGAAGUGUUUCAUAGCCGCGCCCGGACGCUUGCACUUUGGCCGCAGAUUGACAGGCAAAGAGGUCACCGGGUAUUCCAGCGGUGCGUCCAGCGCUGUCAGCUCGCUGGAUGAGGCUGACACGGAGGUACGCAACCUGACAGCCAAAGCCUUCAAGAGCCUGGCGUACCCCUACUUUGAAUCCAUCAAUUUCAGCACCUCUAGUGAGUCUUCGGCAUCAGAGCAAGGGAUAAACAGUUGGGCUACGUUUGUUGACCUGAAAUAUGGCAAUGUGAACAUGGCACGGGGUCUGGACCAAAGUGUGCUUUCCCAUCAAAACUCUGCAGCCUCGUUUGAAAUAGCAAAGGAUAUAGAAAAUAUAGGCUGUAAGGGCGUCGCUCUGGCGAGCAUCAAACCGCCAUCCAGCAAGAUAUUCACUAUAAAUGGCGAACCCCACGGCACGUCGUCAUCAAAGCAAAUCCAGCUGACCGGGGAAUUCAGUCAGAGCCACGGCGGAGUGAUUAGACUCACGGAGACUCUGAAUUUCCGUUGCAAUGUCAAAUCAGGAAUGUCUGGUGGAGAAAGGCUCUCUAAGUUUGCACAAAACUCUGCAGGAUCACGUUCCACAGAUGCGGUUACCAACAGGAUGCCAAGUGGCCAGAGGAGAGGGGCCAGCAAGUCGCCUUCUGAAACCAUGGAAGACACGCACAAGAAAGCGGUAUUCGCCUCGAGCCUGAUUAAAAAUGUUAUUUCUAAGAAGAUGCAGUUCGAGAAGGAGCGCAAGAUGGAACGAGGGGAGAUUAGCGAGCGGCAUCCAACGCCCUCGCCGUGCUUCGCGCACCAGGAGAGCGACGGCCACGGGGAGAAGGGGAGCAAGGAGCUGCGCAGACAGAGCUCCAAGUUUUCCGAGAGCAGCGCCGAGUACGCAAUCAUGUACGUGGAUGACUUCGGGGACCUCUUGGACAGCGGCUCGUGUGAAACCAGGAGCGACUCCCGGAGACAAGACGCGGCCGCUCCCGCGCCUCAAACUCAUUUGGAACCGGCCCACAACGCUUGGAUCGCAGCUAAAGAAGGCGAGUUGGACGCGUCCAAAAGCACGCUCCCUCGCAGCCAAAAUAGCGCCUUCAGGUGCUGGCGGGACGAGGAGCUAGAGUUUCAAAAGGAUCGUAAAAACGACAAAACUCCCGUGAAGUUGCACCCGGCUGACGGAAAAGAGAGCGAGGGGGAGCAGCACUCCGCGGGAAGCGGCAAACUGACGAAAAUGUCACGUUUGUUUGUGCCAAGUAUCCAACUGCUAUCUGGUGAGGGAGAAGCCGCACAGCAGCUGCGGAACAGAAAGGAUUCGUCACAUUGGGACGGAGGAGAGGUCAAACGCUCCAACGGCACGUUGCACGUCGCAGGCUCCGCGGUGGCGGCAACGUCUAAAUCUCCUGAAAUUAAAAUUAAUUUAAGGAGCGUCAGAGACAAUCAAAUGUAUCCUUUCGGCGUUUCGAAACUACGCGCUCCCAAUAUAGGCUGCAACGCCGCGGGCCUCUUCGGGACGGAUGAUUUCAAACGCCAGGCGCUGGCUGCUGCUCUGAAAGGUGAGUCUUCAGACAAAGUGCCGCACUUCAUGGUCAGAGACAUCCGAGAUAACAAAGCGAAGCUGCAGACGCCCAUCCACCAAGUGAGAGACGUGCGCAAACUGGUGAAAAGUUCCUAUCACUUUGUCUCCUUGGACAACAACGAAAAUAAAUCCGUUAGCCACUCGGCGCCAAAGAAGCAAACGUCCUAUCGGAAUUGCAAUGCCGUGUCCCCUAUAAUGAUCAAAUGUCAGUCUGUGAAUACAAAUAACGGGAAACAUUCUGAAAAUCUUACCGACUCGUCUAAAGAGGAGCCGUUUGACGCAAACAGGUUGACUCCAGAGGGCGCUAAAAAGGCUCAGCCGCAAAGUGCAGGUGGGAGAGCACCCAUGGGCGACACCAGUGACCCCUCAGUUGGAGUCAUUGGGUUGACAAUUGAAAGCCGAGCAGCAUCAACAAAGCAGGACAACGAGUCAAAGAUCACUAACCAGGGGGCUUUGGCAAAACUGCAGGCUGCGGUGAAAACCAUGGAGCAGCUGUAUAAAUUUGAAAAAAAUGAAUGGAAAAGGAAGACUGAGCCUCAUCUCCUGACAGACAGCCACGUGCUCUCAUUGAUUGCUGGUGAGGAGCACGGAGGACUUGAGAACGACGGCCAGAAAGCGGCAACGGAGAGAGCGGCCAGAACAGGCUCCUGCCAAAACAAUGACAAUAACUCACCAGCAUUGGGGGUGUCCCCUGGCACCGCCAGCCUGCUGCAGCGAGAGGACAAAGACCCCUCCAGGUUCCUCCAGCAUCCCGGCAGCCGCGAGGACGGGCUCGUCGCGAGGUCAAUUGAAGCUGUGGGUGACAGAAACACGUCAAAAGCCAUCACUCAAACUAAUUUCAGCAACAAAAGCUUCCUCCCCAAGUCCCCCAAAUUGCCUGUGUCCCUAAAAGUCAGCCGGACGAAGCCAAGUGGGAAUGAAGGAGCCAAAUCAAAGGAGGUUGAGAGGUCCACACAAGAGCUCUUCGGUGUAUCAGCUGACAACGAGAACUACCUAACCAUUCCUGCUCAGUCUCGAAUCAGCAGCAACAGACAAGUCCCAUCUGCUGAUAAAACAACUGUGUACAACCACACACACCCAACCACACCUUCAGGUCAUUUGGGUUCCGGUGCACGGGGAUUUGACAACACAGGAUCCAGCCUUGUGAUGGACACAGGCUUACCCGAGAAUCCUCCUGCUACCAUCUACCACUCUUUGCCAUUGGGAAUGUCCACCAAUCAGCCGCGGAUGUUUUGCUUCUCUCCUGCGAUCGGCCCCUCUCCCACCGUGGACCCCUUCCAAGUCACGCAGAGAAAGAUGCUCCUGGAUCCCACCACCGGGAGCUACUACCUGGUGGACACUCCUGUUCAGCCCGCCAGCAGGCGCCUCUUUGACCCCGAAACAGGCCAGUAUGUGGACGUGCCCAUGCCACAACCUUCCAUGACCCCGGUGCCCUUGCCCAUCUCACCUUUGGCCCUCAGUCCAGGAGCGUACGGACACACCUACAUGAUCUACCCGGGCUUCAUGCCGACUCCUUCCAUGAUCCCAGCCCGGGCGCUGGCGCAGUCGCAGAUGUCGAUGCAGUCCGAAGCGGAGGGCGGAGGGAAAGCCGCGACACAGCAGGCCGAAGGCAGGUACGUGGAGAGUCCCUUCUACAUGGCCACAGAAAAGUCUCCUGUGCAGGCGGGCUACGGGGCUCAUCCGCCGGCCGCCACAAACAGGCCGCCGCAGGGUUUCCACAGCAUCAGGCAGCCGGUCAUCAGCAUCACCUCGCAGCAGGGGCCGCGGAUCAUUGCUCCGCCCUCAUUCGACGGGACCACGAUGAGCUUCGUGGUGGAGCACAGGUGAACAGCAGCUUACCUGGGCAGUGUGAGACUUUUGCAGCCCGAGUAUGUUUCCUGUUGUCCCCGUACAGGCUGUCAGAGUGUCUGGGCUGAACUCUGAGUGGACGCUGCACUGCCCUGGCGUUUCGUCUCUUCAUUGUGCUACUUUAGUCAUUGGCUGGAUGUGAUGAAUCAGGGCCCUUUCAUAAUGUGGCUUAUUUUCCUCCAGUUUGACCUUUUCUAUAUUGUAUAUGAUGUGUUUAAAUAUGUUUGUUUUUUAUAACACCACAUUGUAAAUAAUUGAAGGAAUCAAUUUGUAGGCCUUUGCUUUCAAUCACCUCGUGAACUAAUCUUGGAUUUGACAGAUUAUGUUGAUUUUUGUGAUUGUUAAAAUUGUCUUAUUUUACAACACAACUUUAAUGAUGACAUAAUUUAGCAUGACAUCUAUAUUAGCUUGAAUUGAAUAUUAGAACCUCUUGGGUGUUUGAUUGUAUACAGCUUUAAAAUGCAGAAAAGUCAGCAUUCACCAUGAUUUAUUAUUCACCCGGAAAUAUCAUAAUUAGUAAGUUAACCUUGCUGAAUUCCGUAACAUAAUAAUAUGAAGGCACGAUGUGACUUUACCGUGCACAAUAGAUAUUCUGGAGAUUCAUCACCAUGCAUGUGUCCUACAGAGUAGAAUGUUCAAUUCAGUUUUAGCUAUGUUUGAGAUGUAUUUCUGCAGGAAUGACUGUCACUUAAUUUAGUAUUUUGGCACUGACUUACUGUUGUGUAUUUAUAAUUGUUCAUACUGUGGAUCUGCUGGCCAGUCCCCCCUUUUCAUUAGAAUUAACUGUUUGCUACUUUACUGUAUUUAUGCUAGGACACUAGAAAACAUCCAGCAUUCAUUCAUAAUAACUUCUUCUACAUAGACAAAUGAAACCAACUGUAACAGGAUUGCAUGGAGGGUUCCAAAAAAAUGGCAGCACAGUAAUCAAGAGGCAGAGGUGGAUGGUAUCUUGCAGAAAGUUUUAAUAAAACAAUGUGAAAAAUACCCCACAGAAAAUCAGCUGUCGCCAAACUAAGUUAAACUUAGGCCCUGAGACAACCACCACCACCAUCACUGCGCCUCUCUCAACCCGUCUUCCCCAGAUGUCUUUCCUUUUGGCUUUUGAACCCCCCUUGAUGAAGAGAUGAGGUCCGGAUGUGUCUCCGGGCACACCUGAUUUCCAUUCCCCUGAUGGUGUAGGUGGAAGACUUUUGGCUGAAAUGUAAACUCCCUCCACUAUCCUUCCCUUCAGCCCCUCACACAACGUAUCUUCAAUCAAUUCAAUAUAAUGUUUUGUCAAAUUUGUACUCUUCCAAACAAUGUGUAUUGAAGAAAUUUUAAAAAAGAACAUUAUAGGUUACCUUCAACAGUUUGUUCCUUCUUGCAUUUGUUGGUCCCUUCAAGUUAACACGUCACAUUGGUGAGGUUGUUGUUUGUUCAGAAAAAUCUUGUUGCCUUGUUUGCGGUUGUUGCAGCACUUUUUAAGACCUUUAGUAAGUAAGACCUUUUUUAUAUGCAUUAGUGUGCAUUAAUGUGCAUUAUUUCUACAUUUCCCUGUUGUGCAACAGAGAAAAAAGUAAAGUCUACUGAAUAGAGAAUAUUAUGAUGCAUCUCUGCUUCAAAGCCUUGCAAAAAGACCCUCAAACAGAGUGGGGCUUUGCACUUUAUGAACUAACAAUAUGUGUUGUGAAGGCAAAAGAAAGUUUAGAAAAAAUGUGGAAGUUUUAGACUUUUGAACUGAGAAGACGUAUCAUUUGUAAUGAAAUGAUGAGGACAAACAGGAAAUAGUGGGCUUAGAUGUAAAAAUGAAACAAGGAAAGCUCUUAUUCAGCUUGAAAAUAAGUUCAAAUGAAGAGUUUGUUUUGUAUUGUAAUUUGUAAUUGUAAUGAGAAUUUGGAUAGUUUUUUUAAAGAAAAGUUUAAACUGUCACAAAUAACUCAAGGGAUGUUUCAUCAGUUACUAAUUUUAACUGUGAAUAUGUAAUAAAUAUGAAAACCUUUUGCUGA